AACAAACCAAGUAUAUUCAAAUCUCAAACAGCUGUCUUUCAUCUUAUGUAUACAUUUUAUUAUUUCUCCACAAGAUCGUGAUGAUGCUGUCAAGACGUGUUUCUGCUGCGAUGGAGGCCUGCGAUGCUGGAAGGCUGAAGAUUAUCCCUGAGUGGAGCAUGCUAAAUGGUUUCCUCAGUGUGAAUAUGGGCUCCAGGAGAAGGGACAAGAAUUUUUGUUCACCCAAUUCAGGCUCGUUUUCCUUGGCUGUCUGAGCAGAGUGCAGUCUAGUAAAGCACACCGUCCAGAGAAACAUCCAGACCAGUGGAGAGAACUGCUGAACAGUCCAGACCAGGAGCUGAGCUGCUGAGUGUUGAAUACCAGAAAAUGGAAGAGAGGUGAUGGUUGUCCAUGAAAAUAAACAUCUUUCUCACUACAGCACA